rnacentral:lncRNA from 1 species
AGGACUAUCAAUGAUGUAGGCAAGAUCCUAGGGGGUCCUAAGCUCAAACAUUGAAGAUCAAGUAUUGUGCAUAUUAAAACUGAAUCACAUCUAAAGAUACUAAGCAUAUGAGGAACAAACACUAACUCAUCCUUGGGCAACAAGAUCAUCGCAAUCAACUGCAUGCUCAACUAAUUAAACUUGGUGCAUUUUUUUCUUCUUUUUUUUUCUUUUUUUUCUUUUUUUUUUUCAGCACCUUACAUUCACAUAUUUCAAACAACAUACAGAUAUUUAUUUCACAAUUCAGCUCAAUACAGCAAGAAUUAGCCCAUCCAUCAACAACAGUCACUGUCUUGGCCAAACAGAUCGUUCCUCCACGGUUCAGAACAGUUUUCAGCAUGGAUUCUGUUUGGGCAGACAGAUACAACGUCC